AAAGUCGUAACAAGGUAACCGUAGGUGAACCUGCGGUUGGAUCAUUAAUAAUUUCACAAGCAGUGUCUUUUCUAAAACACACUUGCUUGUUGUAUUAAACCUUAGCUGGUUUUUUACUUUACCUUUUGUGAACCGUUUCCGUCUCUGGCGGCCGGGUGCGAUUGGCCAUGUGCUUCUUGCAUCUGUCAGCUUGGUUCAUCCCAAGCCGUGGACAAACCGCCAAUCACCACAACAAACCAACGUAUUCUAUUUCUUUGACUGACAUUGCUUUGUAUGAAAUAUACAAACAACUUUUGGCAACGGAUCUCUUGGCUCUC
rnacentral:misc_RNA from 1 species